CCUACGGGAGGCAGCAGUGAGGAAUAUUGGUCAAUGGACGCAAGUCUGAACCAGCCAUGCCGCGUGCAGGAUGACGGCCCUAUGAGUUGUAAACUGCUUUUAUAAAGGGGUAAACUGAGGCACGUGUGCCUUUCUGUAUGUACUUUAUGAAUAAGGAUCGGCUAACUCCGUGCCAGCAGCCGCGGUAAUACGGAGGAUCCGAGCGUUAUCCGGAUUUAUUGGGUUUAAAGGGUGCGUAGAUGGGUUGUUAAGUUAGUUGUGAAAGGUUGAGGCUCAACGGUACAAUUGCAAUUGAUACUGGCAGUCUUGAGUGCAGUUGAGGUAGGCGGAAAUCGUGGUGUAGCGGUGAAAUGCUGAGAUAUCACGAAGAACUCCGAUUGCGAAGGCAGCUUACUAAACUGCCACUGACAUUGAUGCUCGAAAGUGUG
rnacentral:rRNA from 1 species